CCCUGCUGCUUCAGAACUGUUAAGUAACUAUUUUCCUACAAUUUAUCUCAGGCAAGACCUCGAAUAUUUUCCUAACUGCUACCAACUCAGGCACUGCAUAGGACAAUGAUACAGAGGAUCGGCAACAGGAUCCUAACCUUCUUCUGCAAGCACUGUCUACCUCCUUAGAAGAUGGGCUGUGCCACACAUUAAUGCAUGCAGACGAAUGAGCACCGGAGUAACCUGGUCUGGCUAGUUGAAACCAGUCCAGCUGUGGCCUAAGGUUACAUCCAGAUGGACUAAUCCAAGUGAGAAGAGAUACGCAGAGGACAGUGAUGCUGUAACUUGUUUGAUUACGAUCCUUCUUCAUGGUUGCACUGAAUCUCAUCUUGUGAUCUGCCGACUUCAGAAAGGUGAUGAUUCAGUGAAAUGAAGGUCCAAACAAAAACUUCAGAGAUAAAUCAGUAGUACCCCAGGAGGAGACUUCAUCUCUUGCUUGUCACCAAGGACCUUUGCUGCCGGGCUGCUGCAUCCUGACUCUCUGUGCUUCCUCUCCUCCUGAUCUGUCAGUCUUGACUUGAAAGAUUGCCUGGCUUUGGCAAGACAGAAUGGCUACAGGAAACACAGUGCACUAAUUGGUCUAUCACAGCCUCAUCUAUAUCAGUUCGUAUUUGCUCUACUGUCUGCUGACUGUUUGGAUACAUCUCACAAAAUGCUACAAGAUGUUCUGCUCUCUAAGAAGUGUACACUGUGCUUGGAUUCAAACAAUUUGAUUUUCUUGAGACAAGAAAAAACACUAAGUGUCACAAGUAACUGCAACAGCACUGCAGAAUACGUCUAACCUUAGAGUAACUAGAAGGCUGCAUUCUCCAAUGAACAAAAAAUCCACCUAAAUAAAGGAAAAACCCUGAGAUUCAUGGUUGAUGUUCCUGUGGCUAGUCCUGUUUUUCCACCCAUCUUUCCAUCUGCCUGAGGCUGGCCUCUCCAUUGCACUCACUCACUGGUUUAUGUGGAAGAGUUCCUUGAAAAGACCUGGUUUAAGGAAAUAGAAAAAGACACAUUGCCACUUUUUGCAAAGAAAAAUCAAAAGGUCCUUGAGGUUCUACAGACACAUCCAGUUCAGCUGUUUCUACCUGUUGGAAUGAGUUCAGAGGAAACCACAAGGAUACUCGGAGUGUUGCAGCACCUCUCCUAACAAGACAGACUAAAGAAAGCUGGACUGGUUCAGUAUAGAGAAGAGAAGGCUCCAGGGAGAUCUCAUACUGGCCUUUCAGUACCUAAAGGGGGCCCACAGGAAAUAUGGGGAAGGACUUUUCGAUGGGGGAGUAUAGUGAUAGGGCAAGAGAUAAUGUCUUUAAACUAAGAUAGGAAGGUUUAGAUUAGAUUUAAGGAAGAAAUUGUUCACUGUGUGUGUGGUGAGGCCCUGGCAUAGGCUGCCCAGAGAGAUGCCCCAUCCCUGGAGGUGUUCAAGGCCAGGCUGGUGAGGCUCUGAGCAAUCUGAUCAAAUGGGUGAUGUCCCUGCCCAUAGCAGGGGGUUUGCAACAAUAUAAUCUUUAACAAUGACAAUACAACCUUCCAACCUCUACCUUGCAUAUUCUAUAACGAUUCUAUGAUACGGUUGUGGGUAUUAUGAAUUUCAGCACAGUGGACAUGAAGGAAACAGAUGUUAGCUGAUGUAACGAGUUCACAUAGGAGAUAUAAAACGUAAUAAAUUUAUAAGACAAUAGCUAGCCAUCAAGAAUUCUGUGUGGACCCUUAGUUAGCUUUAAGAUUAUUUGAAGUAGCUUAGCCUACUUCAGAAAUGGAGCAAAUUAUUCUACAAGAAGCAUGUUAUACCAGUAACUACAUAGGUAGCUAUUCUAGAUCAGUACAAUAAAUAAAUAAAUAAAUAAAUAAAUAAAUAAAUUUGCAUGCAGGAAACAAAACUUGAAAAAAAAGACAAUAAUAAAUCCCACUAGAGCCUACAUACCUGUGACCAAAAAAUAAAAAUAAAAAUAAAAAUAAAAAAAUAAAAAAAAUCCCCACCAAAAAACAAUACAAAACAACAAAUGAGAUCCAGAAGGCAAAAAGUAAAUGAAUAUAAUCCAGCAUCAAGUCAUAUGAGGUUACUUUAUCUAAAUGUAUCUCCAGUGAACAUAAUUGGAAGCAGCAUAAAUCUCUGCAGGCUAUUAUAAAUUAAGAUGGCUGAAAUGAUUUUAAAUAGCCAAAGGUAUAAAACAGACUGAAGACUCUAUUUCUUGAUGAAACUCAAUAUUUUGGAAAGGAAUCAGUGAAUCAGCUGGGAUACCAAGAUUUUAAAGUUGUAGACAGACAAGAAUUCAGGGCUUGCCUUUUUCAAAGGAUGAAUUCUAGUUCAGGGAUAUUUGGACUGAAAAUCAUAUUUUAUAUUCACAGAAAUUUCACUGACACUUACUAUUAUCCUACUUUAUGUGAAAGUUUUUUGUUGCAUUCAGAAUUGGGGGGAGAUCACGGUUGUGGGCAGGAUCUCCCAUAGAACUCUUUCCAACCACAGCUGGUUUUUAUUGCCAAUGGAAAGAGGACAUCAGACACAAUGAAUUUUGGCACAGGUGAAGGUUAAUAAAUCUCUUGGUGAGAGACAGCUAAUGCGUCACAAAAAAUACUAAGGAAAAAUUUAGAUAUCAAUAAGCUACCUGAUCUAAAAGGUGUACUUCGUAGUCAAAGAUUCAUACAUAAGCAUGAAAUUAAUGAUUAAUAGAGCAUAAAAUAACAUCUAUAUUGAAAAAAUACAGAGUACUCUGGAAAAAAAAUAAUCAAAGUUAUGAAAUACUGUAUAUUUAGGAUUGGAUUUUUAUUUUUUUACUUUUAUUUUUAAUAAAAAUGAUAAAUGGAACAGAACUGAAUGAUAAAUUAAAUCAAAAGAAAGCUUGAUAUAGGAAAGAAGCUUAGUAAACGUGGCAGCAGAUACAUUUGCCUCAAAGAGACAAUACUGCUACUUUACAUGGCAUUUGCUAUCUAAAGUCUCCUCAAGUCAUCUGUCCAAGCAAGAAUAACAAAUACAUGUUUUGCCCUUUUUGGAUUACAUCAGUAUGAUGCAGCUGCUGCCUCAGAUGGAGAAAGAAUCAUUCUCCUCAAGUAAGAAAUAAUUAAGUAAUGGUGAAUGCCAAAAGUCGGAUAGCUUUUAAAUUGAAAGCUCUAAACACUGCAGACAGCCCUGGAUAUGAGAUUAUUUUUACUAUUUGAAGUACUAGUAAGAGCCUUUUUCUGUAUUCUGUAUAAGAACCUUGCUAAAAUACAAGGUAAUGAUACAUAUGCUCUGAAUAUUUUUAAUUAACAUUUUAAUAAAACUAGCACAAACAAUGCAGGAUUAAAGCAGAAAAAAAAUCAUAAACUAAACUUUACGUUGCAAAAUUGUGUGGCUCUCAUACUAUGGGAUUUGGGUUUUAUUGCCUUAGUGAUAUAUAUUUCUCAUAAGUAAUGCUAUUUUCUUAAAAAAAAAAAAAAAAAAAAAAAAAGUAGUUAGGUUUGAGUGAUCUAAAGGUUAUCUCACUGCUGAACAGAGUUAUCAGUGAGAAAUAAAUAUCCAGAACAGAAAAACAGCUAAAUCCCCUAAUCACUUAAGUAAAGGAAUUAGUAAAGGAAUUUCCUCGCUAUCAAUCUGAAGAACUGGUGCUAUCAUCAGAACUUAUAUGUUUUCCUUUUCAAAUUGCAAAUUUUCACAAACACUUUGAAACACUGGCAAUUAACGAACUCCACAUGGUCAGUGAUUGUGGCCAUAAGCGUUUGUAAGUAGCCAAUUUUCAUAAAGAAAACGCGAAAUGAAUGGUGUAAUGAAUUAGGUAUGAAUAAUGGCUCACUUUUUUACUUAUGCUGGCAUCAAUAUUAUUCAUGUAUAUGGGAAAACUGAACCCUUAUUCUCUUCACCUGGAAAUAUGCUCAAGUAAUAGACUUGUAUUAAAAUGUUCAGUUCUUAUUAUAAAUCAGUCAGACACAAACAUGCCUAAUGAUGUCAAAAGCAUUUAUUUUUCCUCUUUACAAAUUUUCUUCAGACAGCACUUCUUUUUAUUAUUAUUUUUAAAUUGUAAUGAAUCUGAUAUCUAGAAUUGAAAUGUAUUCCCCAAAUAUGCUGAAAUUAUACAUGACUUAGUUGCUCUUUAUAAUGAACAUUCAGUUGAUUUCUCUUAUGUUCAACAUCUGUUAUUGUUCCAGCUUUUGUAAUUCUGGUGUCCUAUAGUUAAAAGAUUGAUUGUCCCAUAUGGAAGGCAUGCACAUAAAAAUAAACGAAUGUUGAAAUAAUUAAUAACAAUCAAAAAGGUUUUAUGUAACUUUUAUUUAACUCCUCCAAAGAAAGAAGAAAUAAAUAUUUUAGCUGACAAAAAAUACUUCAGUAAGUAUAAUAGACUUCGGCA
rnacentral:lncRNA from 1 species